UGUGUCCUUCGGGAGAAAGAUUUAUCGGCAAGAGAUGAGCCCGCGUUGGAUUAGCUAGUUGGUGGGGUAAAGGCCUACCAAGGCGACGAUCCAUAGCUGGUCUGAGAGGAUGAUCAGCCACAUUGGGACUGAGACACGGCCCAAACUCCUACGGGAGGCAGCAGUGGGGAAUAUUGGACAAUGGGCGCAAGCCUGAUCCAGCCAUGCCGCGUGAGUGAUGAAGGCCCUAGGGUUGUAAAGCUCUUUCACCGGAGAAGAUAAUGACGGUAUCCGGAGAAGAAGCCCCGGCUAACUUCGUGCCAGCAGCCGCGGUAAUACGAAGGGGGCUAGCGUUGUUCGGAAUUACUGGGCGUAAAGCGCACGUAGGCGGAUCGAUCAGUCAGGGGUGAAAUCCCAGGGCUCAACCCUGGAACUGCCUUUGAUACUGUCGAUCUGGAGUAUGGAAGAGGUGAGUGGAAUUCCGAGUGUAGAGGUGAAAUUCGUAGAUAUUCGGAGGAACACCAGUGGCGAAGGCGGCUCACUGGU
rnacentral:rRNA from 1 species